UCGACCUCGAAUUAGGUAGGGAUACCCGC
rnacentral:rRNA from 1 species